CAUAUUCUCAUGAGUGUCGGGUUUAUCAGAAAGCUGUCCGGCUAGCUACCCAUUUCGGGCCACUUGGCGAUCUGUUAUUUUUAUAACUUGCGCGAUGUUGACGAAGAACGGCGUACCGCGAUAGACAAAACUGUCGUCUGCUGCAUCUGCACCGGAAGAAAGGACGUCGUCUGCUGUGGUUUGUAGACGUUCCAUUGCCUUUAUUUAUAAUAUUCGUGUGACCCACUUCUACUUUCGUUCUUUCUUCAUUACCACUUACUGCAUUGCAACAAGCAACAUGUGUGCAUAGGGGUAGAUAUCUAGGCUGGUUUUACAAACUUCACCAAAUGUCACCAAUCAUUACUUGCCUGAGUUCUGCUGGUCCGCAGAAUGCUAUCCAACCACGCAUGCACGAAUUUGAGGACAGAAGGGUCGAGGCUGAAAGUCGUGUUGUCGUCGCUGUUUCCGCUCCAUUCGAUGGCCCGUUUCAAGUCAACUAGAAGACCACUGACACUUGUGCGGCGAACUUUGUUGUGGUUGUCGUCUGCUCCGGCUCCCAAACCGGAACCUGUCACGGGUGGGGUGUGAAAUAAUGCUAGCGCCCAAAAUCAGAACGUCAAAAUGCAAAAGUAGCAGAAGCAAAGAUAAAUCUCUCAUCGCGAAGCGAAAGAUGCCGUUACCUUCACAACAACACAAAAGGAACGGAAUUUACCCUCUUUUGUCUUUCUCAAGACGCGCGACAAGGCAGUGCGGAUAGGAUGUCCAAUCGUCGCGGGAAAUCGUUUGCGGAAACCAAUGGGAGGCCGCCCUGUUUUGUCGCCCCUCUUGAGGAGGAGAGAGGGAAAGCGUACCUAAAGGAGCAUGGAAGGCACUUGGAACAUAUAUUCUUUUACCGCGUCAUAUGAACAUACUGUCUACAGGAACCGUCACGCAUAAUAUCUCCUUUAGGAAGCGCCAAUUUCCUAAGAAAAUUAGUUUACGAGAAUGCGCGCAGCGGCGAUCUCGCCCACGCUACUCCUGGCGUGUGGUAGUGACAUCAAAUCAGUCGUCGCUUUUUGUUGGCUAGCGACAAUCGCGUGCUAACGACAACGAAGUGCGGGAGGGGCGGUGCGAAACGCAACUGCGAAGAGAAAGAAAGGAAGGAGGAGAAGCGCUCCUCCCUAUUGGGUCACUGACAUGACGUCGCAUAUACUUACAGCCUUGGGAAGGAACUUUCCUGACCCGCGAGACUUAGAGCUCUCUUGUACACCAGCUGUGCCCGAUGCUGAACUCAGCAUACCGUUCGUUGCAAGUUUUCUGGGCUCCAAACGUCACGCGACGGCGCGUGAAAACUGUUUGUUAGGUCGGGAUUACAAAGAAAGGGCACAAUUGGUCAUCGCGCGGGAGCUUGUGGCAAAUCACAGCGAAGCCACGGAUUUAUCGCGCGGUACGGAAUAAAGAAAAGUUGGGCAUCGAACCCCUGGAUUGCGCGCUGCUGUCAUACUUCUUUCUUUCUUUUUUUUUUUCAGACCUUCCGUGCUCCUUUAAUUCACGAAUCGCGCCAUGGAUAAAUACCGUUGCUUCAGGGUUGCAACCUUCAAAACACCUCGCUCUUUAUCCUGUGAUCAUCACCUAAUGUUCACAUACACAAUAUCCUAAUAUAUUUGCAGAUCCAAAUCCAAAGUGCAAUAACAUAAACACUGCAUGUUUAUAAUUUUUUUAAAAUAAAUGUAUGUGUUUUUUUAUUGUGACAUUGUACAUGUUAACCAGACCCUCUCAAGAGGUACAGCUGUUGGGAGUAGUGUGCUGCCAUUAAAUUAAGUCAUUUACCAAGCUAGUAGUGGCAGCAUAUACUAUUUUUGCCAAUUUGCUGGUACAUGCAUCAGGCUUAUUUGUUCUCAAGCUGCAUCAAGAGCACUGCAAUCGUCCAAAUCAAAUUAACCUCAACUGUUCUUUCAAAAAGUGGGUCAAAUAUGUGCUUACAACUAUGUUUGAUUCUUGAGUGCUCCAGCGCCGGACAUUGACCACCACACAUGUGGCACAACUUUGCAUAAGCCAUUACUACUUUGUUGGUGAUGAGUCUCGUACACUUCUUUGUGUCACUGUCCUUACACCUCCAAGUCAGGAAAAUGUUACUCUCGACACUGUUACAAAGGUUCGUUUGCCUUAUACUCUUCUGUUCAACCCACUACUGCCCUCUGUUUGUUUUGUGAACUUUUUACUUCAUACACAGCAUACUCAUGCGAAAUAAGAAUACCAUGCUGCUGUACUAAAACUAUGUCACUGAUAUAUCAUGAGGUCCCACAUGUCGAGAAAGUUGAUCACGCUCUUACACAGUGAGAACCUGAGCCAAGGGGGCAAGAAGAAAAAAAAGAUCUCAAAUGCAGCUGAUAAGUUUAUUUCACACACAACAAUUUAAACUAGGGAUAUGCCAAAUCCUCUAAUCCUAGGCAUGGAUUCGAGAUUCGGGAACCCGAUUCCCAAUGCCCAAUACGGCGAAUUGAAUCUUUUGAAUCCGUUUGUUUGUUUCUUCUUCAAAUUGGUGCUUUGGGAGUCUGCCGAAAGCCGAAUCGGUCGACCGGUGUUUUCUUUUCUUGUUUUGUUUACACUGCUCUGGACUGAAAAAGUUCAGGCAGGAAUUGUUACAUUACAAGUUUAAAAGUAACAUAUAUGAUUACACAUAUAUAAUAUUAUAAAGUAACAUGGUUUUGCUUCUGAUUGUUGCCUAGUUUUAUGCAAAUAAUUCAGACUCGAGAAUUUAUGUAUUUCUUGUAGUCGAUGGACAACAUGUUAAAUAAAUUAAGUUUAAGAAGAACUAUAUGGGUAUAUUUUCUCCUGAAACUGAACUAUUAUUUAAUUCGUUUUUCAUUAAACAAAGGUAUCAUAUUCUGCUUCAAAACACUUUUUAGUACAAGUUUAUUUCCUGGCUUUUCAAACUCUUUUUAAAGAAAGGAUUCAAAAGAUUCGAGACUCGUAAAAUUCGUGGAUUCACAGAACUUUACUUGGAUUCGGAUUUGGAAAAUUCUGGAUUUGUCCUAUCUCUAAUUUAGACAAAACAGAAAGUCUAGUUUUGGGGAAGCUGUUGGCUUUCCUUUUCGAACCCACCUGUAUCUCUCCAGUUUUGCUUAAAUUGUCAUCUGUGGAAUAAACUUCUUCGCUGUAAACAAUCAGAAAAGAAAACAACUCAGGAAAAAGGUGCUGAUGCCAAGAUUUGAACCUGGGCCUUCUGAUUUUGGGUCGGCACCUCUUCCUUGAGUUGCGUGAGUAGCUGUGUUUGUGUUCUGUGUUUCUUCUUGUUGUCCCUUAUCUGGGGUUUUCCUGAUGGAACUUUCACCACCAGCUUCCUAGCUCUUUGUCAUUAUUUCGCUGUUUUUGUAGACGUUUCUAAGGAACACUACGACACGCGUGUCAGAGUGUGCUGUGGGGUGUAGCACAUCUUUUCAGGCAGAAAGACGUUAAGCAAUGCAAAAAUGUCUUACUCGAUAUGAUGUCAUCAAUUUCUUCCAGGGCCGCUGCAAGUACCUGACUAGCAUCACAAACUGGAUCCAUUGUGUUGCUCAAAGCACAUGUCACUUAGAGGACGUCCCCUGAUUCCACGUUCAGAGUCCUGCGACGUAUUCAGAGCACAUCCCUCGCUGAUAAGCUCGGGAAGUGUGUCCACUAUAUGCACGUUAUAACGGAGCACAAAGAAUUUAGGAUGACAAAACGCAUCCGGUGUUACAUUAACAGGAUACAUGCGUUACAAGUGUCACUGAGCAAUCUGCGGUGCAACUAUACUGCAGGGGGGCCCAAAGGAAUUAGCAGAGGUAGGAUUUUGGGUGGGAGGGAUUUGAACCCCCCAAACCCCUUCUGCCACUGACGUCAAUUUCCCUUUUACAUGAUCUUUGAAGGAGUGGAGGACCAGCUUUCCAGAGGGUGUGCAUAUCAGACCUCUCACUGAAGUUCCUUUGCAAGAGUUCACAUUAUUUGUCACACAACACAGCCAAAAACGAUUUCAUGGAAGGGCAUUUCAUUGCACCUUUAAAUAAUUGCUGCAUGCCUCCAAAUCUAGCAAACACCUGGAAACUUCUAUUUAAAAAGGUGUCUGGGAACUUACCAUGUUAGCCCAGUUACAGUCACUAUAUAGUGACUAAGCCCAGUCGUAAGGGCACAGCUUAUUCAUAGGGAGCAACUUUUUCGGGUUAAACCAGAUUCCGCCCAGUUAUUCCCCCUGAACUGACCUCUGACCAAUUCGGGUUAAACCAGAUUUCUCCCCAAAUGCGAGUCGCUAUGAAAUCCUCAAGUGACGUUUCCACUGAAGACAAACAAAGGUCGUCACCUGUAACGCAUGUAAGAAUGGGUCACUUACUUUCCAAGCAAUACACCCAGGUGUGUCAACACUGUCUAUGCCUUCGGGGAUUACCGCUGGAAGGUUAUGAUCUCACAAAAACAAGAACAAAACACCCGAUAACACCCGAAAGCACAAUUAUCGCCCGAUUUCUCCCCGAAUUAGAUUUAAUAAUAGCACCCGAUUUUUACCCCCUGAAUCUCAGAAAGGCAUUUAACCCGAAAAAGUCACUCCCUAUUUAUUCAGUGUGGCAAAAUGUAGAACCUGAUACUCAAUUUCUAUACUAUAUCGCAAGAAAUGACAAAGACAGCUGUAUUUGUUCAACAUUUCUUUUCAUUCGCACAAAGUCAUAAAUGCAGGUUCGAUUUUGGCUUCUCUGCGGUUAGAUAAUCUAUAUUGUACUGUGCAAUUUCAACAUGGGAGGUGUCACAAUGUGUAUGGAAGUAUAAGUGCAAGAACAAUUUCCCUUUUGUCUCAUCACGGGUGCCACAUUUAUUGUGGUCAUCGACACACAAAAAAAAUUAUACAGUACUAGUUUUCCCAAUUUGCCGAUUUGAUUUGCUGUAGUUUAUGCACUUGGUCAACAGUUUUUUGCUACUUGUUUUCUAUAGGACCAAUCAAUCAGGAUAAAUACCUGUACCAGAAUCGUAAUAGUAUUGUUAUAUGCAUGGUGCCAGCGAGGAUGGUCGGAACUGACACCUUAGUUCCUAGCUUCCAGAAACCGUUCAAGUAAAGCAGUUUGAGUUUGAAAUGAAAGUGAGUGAAUUGAAAGUUUAAGGUAAUUAAUAUUACUAUGCUCAAUAUAAACUAAAAUGUGCAGGUGUGUGCUGCUAUAACAUGUUACAAUCGUAUAAACAUGGGAAUGUGCAAGAGCAUUCAUCGCACAUCUGUCAUUGGCAGAUAGGCUUUAAUGCAUCGACAAUAAAUAUGACAAAAUAACAAGCUAAUUCGUGGCAUAUGUUUAGAGAGGAUGCAAAAAGAGAAAGCUCAUGUAGUAAUGAAAUUUUUGUUUGCACUGCUGUACAAAACUAGGACUGUGCAAACUCUGAAGGGCUUUUAAUACAGCAUGAACAUUUACUUCAUAUUUUAUUUUUAGGCUGUCAAUAACGUGUCACAUCAUGUCUGUUUAUAAAAAGUCCUCCGGCUUGGUUUUAUGGAAGCAUCAUCUUGUAACGAAAAGAGACUGGAUUGGAUUUCAGGGUGCAUCACAGGCUGACAACAGAGCUCCAUUGCCAAUAAUGCUAUACAGACUAAAAUGGCCGGCCUACUCAUUGUGGCGUUAUGAUUAAUAACCCUUUCAGUCACAAUGACACUUUUAGUGACCACCAUGUCCAUGAAAACGAGCCACACUUCACUGCAGGCUGUUUGUGUGAGCAGGUCGUGAAUGAGAGUGAGGAGGAAUAAAACAGGAACUCUUUUGCCCAGAUGGCGUUACCGGUGCUCCCAGGAUGCGAGGCAGAUGAUGGCUUUACUCACAGUCCUGUCGCCAUGACAACUGAGUGCACUUUCACUUUGAGAACAGCAUCAUUUAAAAAUUGCUUUCUACACUACAAUGCAUAAUACAAGGAUGACGAUAACCAAGAUGUCAGCUUGUAAUUUCAAUACAGUACCACAUAUUUCAAUGCUGUCUUCUACUGUACAGUGUUCCCCAAAUCCUUUAUAUUAGAACAAUACAAAGUUUGAAAUGACCACCAUGUGCACAAUAAUGCUUAGUACACAAACACAAUGCACACGAGGCUCACCCAAGUGCAAAGACCUACUAUUCCAGUCACCACCAUCACCCUUACACAUAUAUGGAAGCUUCAUAUCGUUUGCAUAUUUCAGACAGUGAAGUGACAGUCUUCGAUGUACAUGUUAUACUUUGUGUUACAGUCAAACACGCAAAAAUACUAAUAAAUUAAAGGUAUAUUCAUAUGGUUUCUUUUCACUGGGCACAUGGAAUGUUAAUGUGUAUACUAGUGUUUGUGUUUUCUGCACGCUGAUAAUUGACAGACUACUACUCUGAUGACAUGUCCUGGACUUGUUUCAUUCUAUAGUGUUCAUGAUAUAUGUCUGCACACAUUGCUGGUUUUUGUACCGUGUUCACAUAACCUAUGCUUUUCAGGCAGUGGCGUAGCCAGAGGGGGGCUUUUCGAGGAGGAGUUCAAACCCCUCCCAAGACCGUACCUUUGGUAGUGCAUUUGGGAGAGGGAAAUGAGGGUGAAAUCCUCUCCCAUGUAAAGUCCCCCUAGAACCCUCCAGAAAUCUUUUUCUGACUAUGCUGCUGUUUUUACGUAAUGUGCAGUACACUCUUAAAACGGAACUUCACCACAUACAGCAUGGUGAAGGCCAACCAUUGCGCAGAAUGAUACCAUUGUAUCACUCCUGAUUUGUGGAAAGCGAGGGGUGUAUGCCUUUUUACGACAAUUAGCAUAACUGCAUGAGUGUCAAAAAAGGCAUACGCUUCCCGUUAUGAACAUAUCAGGGGCAGAACUAUGUCAUUCGGGAUAGUGGUGAAGACUUAGGAGCAUGCUAUGUGAUGAAGUUCAGUUUUAAGAGUGUAAAUUCUCGUUAAAAUUUGUGCUAGUAAAUUCGUGUUAAAAAGCAGGAUUCCUAUUGAAUGGUGAAAUACUGGAAGGCCUAUGCAUAUCUCAGUAGAAGUAUUAGUUCAGUAUGACCGACAUUUGCAGCAAAUUUUUCCUACACACCAAUUCUUUCCCACUUUGUAGUAAAAAUAGAAGCAUCCUUCACUACAUUACACCUUUCACUGUGCCACAGAAAUCUCACGAUUUCUGUAAUAGAAACAUCUGCCCAUUGCAACAUGCACCUAAACUAAGCUUAAAUUAUAAUUAUGCACUUAUGUAGCAUCAGUGAUCGUUCAUAAAUUAUAUAUUUGGUCCUUACACAAUGCAAGUGUAGUACAUUCUGAGAAGUACUAAUAUCCCUCAAUGCUGCAAUAAAAAUAUACGUAUCACUUUCACUCAGUCUGGGCAGUGGUUCUGGCAUUGCCAGUCCUUGUAAAUGCAAAUUGUACAUAUAAAUUUAGAAGACACUACAUAACUGCAAUGUCACAUGCAAGAACCAACGAGCUUUUCUAGGCAGUGCUAUCUCGUUGUACUCUGUCUUACUUAGCCAUCUCUUACAUGGAAGCAUGUAGUUUAUAGACACAUCAAAAGGCCUACACAAGCAAAUCUUCAACAUGGCAGUAUCGGCCUGGCAGCACAUAUUUGACGGGCUGCAUUACUUAUCUCCAUAUUAAUUAUGGAUGCAUGUGCAAACCUCCUGCUCAUUCCUUAGUUAUAAUAUAACCAAAGUACAGCUAAAUUUUAGUGGCGGUUCUUGUAAAGGUAAAAGGUGUCCAUACAAAAAAAUGUGCCAUAUACAUAAGCAUGGCUGUUGCAUAUAAAAAUGGUCAUAAUUGUACAGAGUCCUCGGCUGACUCGCAUAAUUUAAACAACUCCAUUAUGUCUACAUCAUUCAAAAUAGUUGUCCUAUAUAUAUACACACGUGUUUUGAUGCUCAGCUGUGAAGCCACGUUCAAAGACACUUCGACAGUAGCAGAGCGGUGCCCCAUUAGUAAAAGUGAAUGGUUGGGAGACAGCCAUCACUGUGUCCACUCUGAAGCUCCACCCUGUAGCUAUUGCCCCGUCUCUCAGCACUGUUUACGACUAUUAUACACAGCAUGUCCUUGUAUACAUCACCACACAUGUAGAAAAUUGGGAUAUGUUUUCAUGUAACUAUGAUCAUGCAUUUUUUUUGUACAUUACUGGUUGACCUUGGCCGUCAUGAUUCACUUUGAAGGUAAAUUUAUACUGAAAAUGAAUUAAUCGUGUGACACUCUUUCCCUAUGAAACCGAAACCACAAUCGAAGUGUGUAUCACAAAUACUCAGGCUCAGACAUUUUGAACAUAACAGGAGUGAGGUGAUAACGGCAAAGUACAACCGCUAUAGGUACAGCUUUCACAAUAUUAUAUUAAAAUAUGUAUAUGUAUAAAUAUCCAAAUAAUAUUUGUACAUAACUCGA